AAAUUGAAGAGUUUGAUCAUGGCUCAGAUUGAACGCUGGCGGCAGGCCUAACACAUGCAAGUCGAACGGUAACAGGAAACAGCUUGCUGUUUCGCUGACGAGUGGCGGACGGGUGAGUAAUGUCUGGGAAACUGCCUGAUGGAGGGGGAUAACUACUGGAAACGGUAGCUAAUACCGCAUAAUGUCGCAAGACUAAAGAGGGGGACCUUCGGGCCUCUUGCCAUCGGAUGUGCCCAGAUGGGAUUAGCUAGUAGGUGGGGUAACGGCUCACCUAGGCGACGAUCCCUAGCUGGUCUGAGAGGAUGACCAGCCACACUGGAACUGAGACACGGUCCAGACUCCUACGGGAGGCAGCAGUGGGGAAUAUUGCACAAUGGGCGCAAGCCUGAUGCAGCCAUG
rnacentral:rRNA from 1 species